UUAUCUCUGUAGAGUCUGCAUAUCAAUAAGCGGAGGAAAAGAAACUAACUAGGAUUCCCUUAGUAACGGCGAGUGAAGCGGGAAGAGCUCAAAUUUGAAAUCUUCAAGGUUUACCUUGACGAAUUGUAGUUUAAAGAAGUGUUUUCUGUUGGAGUUUCGGUAAAAGUUCUUUGGAAUAGGACAUCAUAGAGGGUGAGAAUCCCGUAUUUGACCAUUUAUUUCAGCUGUGUGAUACACUUUCAAAGAGUCGGAUUGUUUGGGAAUGCAGUCCAAAAUGGGUGGUAAAUUUCAUCUAAAGCUAAAUAUUGGCGAGAGACCGAUAGCGAACAAGUACCGUGAGGGAAAGAUGAGAAGAACUUUGAAAAGAGAGUUAAGCAGUACGUGAAAUUGUCAAAAGGGAAGCGUUUGACACCAGUGUUGUUUUCUCGAAAAUCAAUUAAAAAUGGCGGGAUUUUGUGUUGUAUUGACUUUAUCAGCUUUCUGCACUUUUUUCUUGUCUUUUUUAAUGCACUUUUCGUUUAACAAGUCAACAUCAAUUUCUUUUGUUGUAAAAGGGUCAUUGGAAGGUGGCUUUCUUUUCGGAGAAAGUGUUUAUAGCCUUUGACUUCUGCAAUCGGAGAGAUUGAGGUCUGCAGCGUAGAUCCUUCGGGGUUAGAUAGCAUUUGUGCUAAGUUAUAGCCUUUCAUAGACAACUUGUUGACUAUGAUCAGUCAUGUAGCUUACUCGCUUAUGCUAUUUUACCUACGCUUAGGAUGUUGAUCUCUCACAGUCGAGC
rnacentral:rRNA from 1 species